rnacentral:misc_RNA from 1 species
AAUUCUCAAACCUGCUGGUCUUUAUUGACUAUGUAGGCUUUGGAUGUGGGGGUUGCUGGCCUAACGGUCGGCUCUCCUUAAAUGCAUUAGUGGCUUGUCGAUCCCCAUUCACUUGGUGUGAUAGUAAUAUCUACAUUGAGGAUGGCUAGGUCAUGCUAUGACAACUGCUUUCUAACCGUCCUUUGGACAAUUUGAACCAU